rnacentral:rRNA from 1 species
CCUACGGGUGGCACCAGUGGGAAUAUUGCACAAUGGGCGCAAGCCUGAUGCAGCCAUGCCGCGUGUAUGAAGAAGGCCUUCGGGUUGUAAAGUACUUUCAGCGGGGAGGAAGGUGUUGUGGUUAAUAACCACAGCAAUUGACGUUACCCGCAGAAGAAGCACCGGCUAACUCUGUGCCAGCAGCCACGGUAAUACGGAGGGUGCAAGCGUUAAUCGGAAUUACUGGGCGUAAAGCGCACGCAGGCGGUCUGUCAAGUCGGAGGUGAAAUCCCCGGGCUCAACCUGGGAACUGCAUUCGUAACUGGCAGGCUAGGGUCUUGUAGAGGGGGGUAGAAUUCCAGGUGUAGCGGUGAAAUGCGUAGAGAUCUGGAGGAAUACCGGUGGCGAAGGCGGCCCCCUGGACAAAGACUGACGCUCAGGUGCGAAAGCGUGGGGAGCAAACAGGAUUAGAUACCCGCGUAGUC